UUGGAGACUCCUUUCCUAAAUAUUUUCCUUCAUGUUAUACCUUCAAAGCAACAUCCCAGAAACAGAAUUAAUUAGCAUGUCCUCUGAACACUCCCAUACCUUAUUGUGGUUCUACUAUUACACUGAGGAUACCAAUUUCUUUUUUUUUAAAGAUUUACUUAUUUUAUACAAGAACUGGGGUACAGGCCAGAUGUGUGGGAGAGUGAGAGGAUUCACCAGAGACAGAGCAGGCAACAGAACAGGCAAACUGAAGAAAUACACUGCUGAGGGAGGGGAGCAGCGGGCGAGGCAGGAGAGGUCUGCUGUGCCAUGUGGGACCCUCGCCUGCCGGCCGGGAUCUAACCAGUACUGCAGAGGCUGCAGACAGCUUCACAGCACGGCACUCAACCACCUACGCCACCAGCAAUUGGCAAUGCAAGGGCUCUGAAGAUAUUUUAACCAAUGUGAUCAUACUUCUCAAAAAAUGACAAGGACUCACAUGGAGAACCACAAGGACUGAAGAUGGCUGUGUGUGGCUUUCCUCUGCACAAACGGUCCUGUCCAGAAAGCCCCAGCUGAAGAAGAUUCAUUCCACCUUGGGCUUUGGCAAAAGGGCUUGUCCUUGGAGGCUUCAGUGCUACAUAGAAUAAGGAAACUUUACAUACAUCGACUGAUUUAAUUCUUGCUUCAGUCCUAAAAGAUGGUGAAAUACAGAAUGAGAGAAAUUGCUUUCUUGGAGGAGUAGAAGCCAGAAUGAAUAAAGAAUCUCACGCCUGCCUUUCCUUUUUUGGCAAAGUUUGUAUUUGAUUGCAAAAUAACCCUACUUUGUGUUUGCCUAGCUCUUUCUGAAAUGCAAAACCUUUUCUAAAAGAAGCCUCCUGGGCUUUUCUCAACAUUGCUGGUGGCCAUUAUCUGAUUGAAUAACUUACACCUACAGAAGAGAGAAGCAAGGUUCAUGUAAGUUCACUGAGUCCAAAGUUCACUGAGCCCAGAGCCCAAGCACCUUUAAGCUAGGUGAGCUAUGCUCCUGUCUCCUUCACUGACUGCCAGACGCAACAAACUCACCUUACGAUUAGAAUAUUAAUAGUUUUUAUUUUUACAGUACUUUGGAAUUGAUAAAAUCUUAGCACACCAUUGCUACAUUUAAUCCUCACAACAACCCUAAGAGGUGAAUCACAUCAUCCCCUUUUUACAGACAAUGAGACUAGACCCAGAGAGUUUAUGUAAUUUCCAGUGGGGGCAACAAUGAAUCUGGUUUCUUUCACAAAACAUAUUGUACCACAAACCUUAAUACGCUUUGAAUUGCCUGAUUCCUAGACAUAGCACAUCGACUGUCAAGCUUGCAGCUUUUCUUUAGAUGCCCAACUGCCUUUUCCACGUCCACUGCGACACUCCCAUUCUCUUCAUUCACAAUCUGUGUCAGAGAUGAUUCACUGUCCCUUAGCAUCCAUUCUCUCUUUUCUUAUCAUAAAACCCUAGAAUUUAGUUGAGCCAUGGACACUAAAAUACUACAUUUCUCAGUUUUCCCUACAGUUAAGUGUGGUCAUGUGACUAAAUUUUGUACAAUAGGAUGUCAGUGAAAAUGCUGAGGACAAUUCCUAAGUUAUCCCUUAAAAGGAGAGAGAUGUUCCCCUUUCGCUUUUCCUCAUCUAUUGGCUAGAAUGUGGAUGUGGUAGUAAGACCACAGUUUG